UUGACAUGCAGGUGAUCGCCGUUGAAAGACGGUUUCCUCUUCGGAGGCACCUGCACAGGUGCUGCAUGGCUGUCGUCAGCUCGUGUCGUGAGAUGUUGGGUUAAGUCCCGCAACGAGCGCAACCCUUAUCCCCAGUUGCCAUCAGGUAAAGCUGGGAACUCUGGGGAGACUGCCGGUGAUAAACCGGAGGAAGGCGGGGAUGACGUCAAGUCCUCAUGGCCCUUACAUCCCGGGCUACACACGUGCUACAAUGGCAGGUACAGAGGGCUGCAAAGCCGCGAGGUAGAGCGAAUCCCAGAAAACCUGUCUCAGUCCGGAUUGAAGUCUGCAACUCGACUUCAUGAAGGCGGAAUCGCUAGUAACCGCGAAUCAGCAGGUCGCGGUGAAUACGUUCCCGGGCCUU
rnacentral:rRNA from 1 species